CACACAGUGAGACACACACGUAUCCUCUGUACAGUCUCAGUGUUCAGCUUCAUCAUGGCCGGACGUCUGCUGUUUGUCUUCUUCAUGUAUGUCUUUAAUGGGAUUCAAACAGAAGCUCGUCUUCCACCUAAACUUACAGUGAAUUCAGCG